rfam:Charadrius vociferus contig8126, whole genome shotgun sequence.
CCAAAGGCUCUUUUAAGAGCCCCCACACUUUUCUAAAAAGAGCGGU